GGUUGGGAUAUACUACACACAAGUAGGGAUGUCAAAUGGGCAUGCUGUCCAUGGAUAGCCCAUGUCCAAACCAAUAUGGACAUGCCCAUAUUUGACCAUAAUUUUGUUUUGUGCAAAUGGGCGAGGCCCAAAUAUACCCAUAUCCAAAUGGACAAAACCAGAUGGACAUGGACGGCCCAAAAUUUUAAAAUAUCUAGGGUUAAUGUAUUUGAGUAAAAAUCAUGUUUUCCGUCAAAACCGUAAA